UACAGCCAUAUCAUCUUCAAACACCAGUUCCUGUAUGAUCACUGAAGUUAAGCAAUGUCAAGACUGGUCUGUAGCUAAAUGAGUGACAGUUUGGGAAUACCAGGUGCUGUAAG